GUGGUGGCGGCGGAGGGUUCGGCGUCGCUGGCUCGCUGGCCCUGCAGACGGUCCGCAAGCGCUGCCGGGUCGGCUGCGCCACCUAGCACGACAUCAUGGACUCGGCCGCGACUCCAGUUGACCCGACGGACGGGGUGACAGGAGAGAUCCAGAUGACGCCGGAAGACUGUCAGAAACUGCACAGAGAUACGGAGAUAACAUCACCAGGUCCGUUCUGCAAUGCCACCUGGGAUAACAUCCUCUGCUGGCCACCUACGGCUGCUGGCACCACUACGUCACAACAAUGCCCAACACUCAAGGGUGUGGACCCGAGCAAACUGGUUUUCAAAGUCUGCCUGCCGUCCGGCCUGUGGAAAGGGAAAACGCUAAAUGACGCGCCGUCCGAGGCUGGCUGGACCAACUACACCACCUGCUACACGGACGAGAUGAGGAAAAUCAUCGCCAAGCUGUACGCUGGCUCCCAGGCCGACGCCGAGCAAAAGAUCCUGAUAGCGCGAAACACGCGCAUUUUGGAGCUGACUGGACUUUCUCUGUCACUCGCAACUCUGUUUAUAUCACUGUUCAUCUUCUUCCACUUCAGGUCGCUGAAGAACAACCGCACCAAGAUACAUCGGAACCUGUUGGUUGCCAUGGUGAUCCAAGUGCUGGUGCGUCUGGUGCUCUACUUGGACCAGGUCAUCAGUCGCGGUGGUAUCGGCGAGGAUGCUCCCAUCGGUUCAGCCAGCCAGGGCAUCGACAAUACACCGUUCGUUUGCGAGGCGUUCUACGUGCUGCUCGAGUAUGCCCGCACGGCCAUGUUCAUGUGGAUGUUCAUCGAAGGUCUCUACCUGAACACGAUGAUAUCAGUGACGGUCUUUUCCCCGAAGUUUUACGACAAGUUUUACUACGCCACUGGAUGGGGUGUGCCAAUUAUUAUGACCGCGAUAUGGGCAGUGUUUACGGGAUUGAACUACGGGGAGAUAAGCUGUUGGUGGAAUUAUAACCUUACGACGCAUUACUGGAUACUGGAGGGACCCAGAAUCGCCGUCAUGAUGCUGAACGUCGCCUUUUUGGUCAAUAUUAUCAUAGUGUUGGUGACCAAAAUGCGGCAGAGCAACUCAAGUGAGGCUUUACAAGCCCGGAAGGCGGUGAAGGCUGCAAUAGUGUUGCUGCCGCUGCUCGGCAUCAACAACAUCAUCAACAUGGUGGACGCACCUCUGGACCGCUCUGUGGAGGAGUUCGCCGUGUGGUCCUACCUGACGCACUUCCUCGCGUCCUUCCAAGGCUUUUUCGUCUCGCUGCUAUACUGCUUUCUCAAUGGAGAGGUGCGGCUGGCCAUCAGCAAGAUGAUAUACGACUACUGUUCGUCGCGGACAGCGGAAGCGUACCGGCGCGGCUCCGGCUUCUCGAGCGUGUUCCUGACGACGGUGGCCGAGCCGGCCCGGGCCGAGCCGGCCCGCGCUCUGGUGGCCUGCGGCUGCGUCCGUACCAAGUCACCGUCGCCCGCCUGCCAGGGUGCCUGUCGUCUUCUGUUGCCCUCACCACCUUCCCACAUCAACACGGAGAUCUGAGAGGACGCGGUGGCGGGCGCCGACGACAUAGCUAGCUCUGCAUGACUGAUUGUUAGCUGUGGGCAGUCGGCAGACAGGACUCAAGUCUGAUCUCAGCGCCAUCUGCCGUCGAUAAGGGGAGAGUGACGUUGGCUGGGCGACCACCGCACUACUCGCCACUCAUCGCUUCUCAUUUGCCUUCGGUACCUGCCAAGCUUGACCCCAUCGCCGACUUCGCGCUUCUCCCGGAGCGGCGUGUGACGACUGUGCGCAUUCAUCAUCAUGUCGGUAUCAUUAACAUGAUAAGGCAGUCUAAUGUAUUGCAUUGUGCAUGUUAUGCUUAAUUAGUUUUAUGUGUGAUGUUAGCCAAUGAACGUUCCAUUACAAUGUACAUUGUUGACAUGAUCCAAAAGAUGUUUGUGCGUCGUUUUCAAGCUAAUGCACUUGUGUAUAAGCUUCAUUGUUGUGAAUGCAUUCUGUAACACUGGAAUAGAACUGAGGCGAAGAUGCGAGCUAAUAUGCGAGCUAAAUUAUCGGGUUGUUACUGAUUCGGCAUUCACUUGCCUGCUUCUGUUAUAUGUACGGGUAUCUGCGAGUGAGACUGUGAUGUUGCCAAAUCUAUGAUGUGUGCUCCAUUUAAGGACGUCUAAGAUUCCUUGAACAGAUCAUGCACGUGUUCGUUGGAUGAUGCCAUGGUGUGAUCAAUAUGAAUGAAACGGUAGGUGUUGGCUGCUG